rnacentral:misc_RNA from 1 species
CGGCGUCGAGAGAAUUUUCAUGGAUCG